GGGCACAGUAGUGGAUGCCUAGACGUAUAUUACCGAUGAAGGACGUGGAAGACUGCGAUAAGUCUCGGGGAGCUGUCAACAAGCUUUGAUCCGGGAAUGUCCGAAUGGGGAAACCCAGCAUGAGUUAUGUCAUGUUGCUGGCUCCUGAAUAUAUAGGGAGUUUAGACGGGAACCAACUGAACUGAAACAUCUUAGUAGGUUGAGGAAGAGAAAGUAAAUAACGAUACUCGGAGUAGUGGCGAGCGAAACGGGUAGAGCCCAAACCUUACAUGUUUUUGCCUGUUUACAGGUAGAUACGGCUGAUAGGCCAAUGCAUAUAAGGGGUUGUGAUAUUACAUAUGACCAAGUCAGAGAACUUGAGCUUUCGAGUUUGAGGUAUCUGAUUUGCGAUAGCACUCUAUCAGGUGUUAGUAAGGUAAAAAAUCGGCGUGGUUAGCAGAAUAACUUGAAUGGUUAACCAAAGGACGUGAAAGUCGUGUAUGCGAAAACGACGCUGACCUUAUGUAUGUUUUAUCGAGUAGGGCGGGGCACGAGAAACCCUGUCUGAAUCCGGCUGGACCACCAGCCAAGGCUAAAUAUAAUAUACGAUCGAUAGUGAACUAGUACAGCGAUGGAAAGGUGAAAAGAACCCCGGGAGGGGAGUGAAAUAGAUCCUGAAACUCUGUGCCUACAAGGAGUCGGAGCGGACUUGUUCCGUGACGGCGUGCUUUUUGUAGAACGAUCCAGCGAGUUAAUUUUCAAGGCAAGGUUAAGUCAUGUGACGGAGCCACAGUGAAAGCGAGCCUGAAUAGGGCGAAUUAGUCUUGAGGAUUAGACCCGAAACCGGGUGACCUAACCAUGGGCAGGCUGAAGCUACUGUAACAGGUAGUGAAGGGCCGAACCGUAGAGCGCAGCAAAGCUCCCGGAUGACCUGUGGUUAGAGGUGAAAUGCCAAUCGAACUCGGAGAUAGCUGGUUCUCCUCGAAAUAGCUUUAGGGCUAGCGUCGCGUAGUAGCAAAUAGGGGUAGAGCUCUGUAAAGGACUGGGGCGGGCAACUGUACCCACCCUUAACAAACUACGAAUACUAUUUGUGUAAUCGCGGCAGUUAGAACGUCGGGGCUAAGCUCGGCGCUCGAAAGGGAAACAGCCCAGACCAUCGUCUAAGGUCCCUAAAUUAACACUCAGUGGGAAACAAGGUGAGAUUUCUUAAACAGCGAGGAUGUUGGCUUAGAAGCAGCCAUUCAUUUAAAGAGUGCGUAACAGCUCACUCGUCAAGAGAUCUUGCGUGGAAAAUGUAACGGGGCUAAAGUGUUAUACCGAAGACAUGGAUGUGCAAUUUAUUGCACGUGGUAGAGGAGCGUUCCUAUCUGCAGUGAAGCAGUUCUGGAAAGAAUUGUGGAGCGUUAGGAAGUGAGAAUGCUGGAAUGAGUAACCAUAAGACAGGUGAGAAUCCUGUCGGCCGUAAGAGCAAGGUUUCCUGAGCCAUGGUAAUCAUCUCAGGGUUAGUCGGGCCUAAGCCGAGGCGCAUAGCGUAGGCGAUGGACAUCAGGUUAAUAUUCCUGAACCGGCAUAGUUUGUACACUGUUCACGGCGAGAUAUUCGGAGCGGAUUCAUGGUAUGUAUCCGUCCAACCUAGGGGGAACCCGACGGGAGUGAAAGUUACUCUUUAUGAGUGACGAUUCUGGAAAAGGCGCUGGCUAGAAAAGCAGAUGUACGCGUGGCUAUGUCGACCGUACCGCAAACCAACACAGGUGCUCGAGUCGAGUAGACUCAGGCUUACGAGAGACCCUUCGCUAAGGAACUCGGCAAUACAGCGACCGUAACUUCGGGAUAAGGUCUGCCCCCACUUCGGUGGAUAUGAGCCGCGUUCACUCAGCAAGAGUUAACGGUUAAAAAUAACGUCCGUUGCGUUAAAAACAACGGAUAGUGAGUACGCAUAGAUUUACGUUAUGAAAAUAACAACAAUGUAUGUGAUCAAAUCCUUUUUAAUUACGACAAUUUUCUGAGAUAAGUAACAAUAUGAUUUUGUUCUUUUGAACGCGAUACUCUCGCAUCUAACGAUGUGGGGGCCGCAGCAAAAGAGCCCACGGAACUGUUUAUCAAAAACACAGGUCUCUGCUAACACGAAAGUGGAUGUAUAGGGGCUGACUCCUGCCCGGUGCUGGAAGGUUAAGGGGAGCGCUUCACGGUGCGAACUGAAGCCCCAGUGAACGGCGGCGGUAACUAUAACCGUCCUAAGGUAGCGAAAUUCCUUGUCAGGUAAGUUCUGACCCGCACGAAUGGAGUAAUCAUGUGGGCACUGUCUCAGCGAAGGCCUCGGUGAAAGUGCAUUGGCGGUAAAGAUGCCGUCUGUCCGUACCAGGACGAGAAGACCCCAUGGAGCUUUACUACAGUUUUACAUUGAACACGGUUUCAGCUUGUGUAGCAUAGGUGGGAGACGUUGAAGCAGAUGCGCUAGCAUUUGUGGAGUCACCGGUGAAAUACCACCCCUGCUGUGAUUGUGUUCUCACUCUGACCGUUAUCCGGUUAGAGGACCGUGUAUGAUGGGUAGUUUAACUGGGGCGGUUGCCUCCUAAAGAGUAGCGGAGGCGUUCAAAGGUUGGCUAGCUUCGGAUGGAAAUCGAAGUGAUAGUGUAUGCGCAUAAGCCAGCUUGACUGUGAGGAGUACAUUCCAAACAGAGACGAAAGUCGGAGCAAGUGAUCCGCUGUACGUACAUUUGUACAUGAAUGUGGGAUCGACAGCGCAAACGGAUAAAAGUUACCCUGGGGAUAACAGGCUUAUAGCGCCCAAUAGUUCACAUAGACGGCGCUGUUUGGCACCUCGAUGUCGGCUCAUCACAUCCUGGAGGGGGAGCACCUUCCAAGGGUUCGGCUGUUCGCCGAUUAAAGUGGUACGCGAGCUGGGUUCAGAACGUCGUGAGACAGUUCGGUUUAUAUCCGGUAUGGACGUUAGGAAAUUUGAGAGGAUCUACCCGUAGUACGAGAGGACCCGGGCGGACGAACCUCUGGUGUAUCGAUUGUGGCCACCUGCUGCAUUGUCGAGUAGCUAAGUUCGGACUAGAUAAGCGCUGAAAGCAUAUUAAGCGCGAAACUAACCUCAAGAUGAGAUUUCCCUAUGAGGACACUGAAAGAUUAUCAGUUUGAUAGGUGCAAGGUGGAAGUGCAGCAAUGCAUGGAGCUGAAGCAUACUAAUAGUCCCAUUGCCUUUUUA
rnacentral:rRNA from 1 species